rnacentral:misc_RNA from 1 species
UUACCCAUCAUUCUCAGUCUUGUUUGGAAACAAGACAGUUGUUCAGUACACUCGGGAAUUGACAAAUGUGGAGGCUGCCAAGUCUACUUACAAAGUGAAAGUGAUUAGACCAUCGAAUGUGGCAGUAACAGUGAAACCAACUGAGCUAGUUUUCAAUAAUAUUGGAGAGAAGAAAAAAUACACAGUGAGAUUUGUGGCAAAGAAAAAUUCAAAGCCAGUAGGUGGAGUUGCAUUUGGUUCAAUUGUCUGGGAAAAUGUUAAAAACCAAGUUAGCAGCCCAGUUGCAGUUACAUGGCCAUAAUUUAUAAGCUCUCCUUGUCUGUUCUUGCUCCAUUACCAGUAGGGUAUUGGUGAUCAGUCCCUUAUUGGGUUGUUCUGUUCCUGGUUUUUCAUUAUUAAUAAUACGUUGCUGCUUUGAGAAAAUGGAAUUUCAUUUCCCUAAUCCUUUCAGUAUAUCCACAAUGUAUGCCAAAGUG